rnacentral:rRNA from 1 species
UACAGAGGUGGCAAGCGUUGUUCGGAAUUACUGGGCGUAAAGGGCGCGUAGGCGGCCAUCUAAGUCAGACGUGAAAUCCCCCGGCUUAACCUGGGAACUGCGUCUGAUACUGGACGGCUUGAGUAUGGGAGAGGGAUGUAGAAUUCCAGGUGUAGCGGUGAAAUGCGUAGAUAUUGGGAAGAACACCUGAGGCGAAGGCGGGUUGCUGGGCUGAUACUGACGCUGAGGCGCGAAAGCCAGGGGAGCAAACGGG